CCUACGGGAGGCAGCAGUGGGGAAUAUUGGACAAUGGGCGAAAGCCUGAUCCAGCCAUGCCGCGUGUGUGAAGAAGGUCUUCGGAUUGUAAAGCACUUUAAGUUGGGAGGAAGGGCAGUAAGCGAAUACCUUGCUGUUUUGACGUUACCGACAGAAUAAGCACCGGCUAACUCUGUGCCAGCAGCCGCGGUAAUACAGAGGGUGCAAGCGUUAAUCGGAAUUACUGGGCGUAAAGCGCGCGUAGGUGGUUUGUUAAGUUGGAUGUGAAAGCCCCGGGCUCAACCUGGGAACUGCAUCCAAAACUGGCAAGCUAGAGUACGGUAGAGGGUGGUGGAAUUUCCUGUGUAGCGGUGAAAUGCGUAGAUAUAGGAAGGAACACCAGUGGCGAAGGCGACCACCUGGACUGAUACUGACACUGAGGUGCGAAAGCGUGGGGAGCAAACAGGAUUAGGAUACCCUGGUAGUCCACGCCGUAAACGAUGUCAACUAGCCGUUGGAAUCCUUGAGAUUUUAGNGGUCGCAGCUAACGCAUUAAGUUGACCGCCUGGGGAUACGGCCGCAAGGUUAAAACUUAAGAGUAGUAGACGUGAGAGUAGUCGACGAGACACGAGGGAGGUUAGAGG
rnacentral:rRNA from 1 species